rnacentral:rRNA from 1 species
UGGGGAAUUUUGGACAAUGGGCGAAAGCCUGAUCCAGCAAUGCCGCGUGUGUGAAGAAGGCCUUCGGGUUGUAAAGCACUUUUGUCCGGAAAGAAAUCCUUGGCUCUAAUACAGUCGGGGGAUGACGGUACCGGAAGAAUAAGCACCGGCUAACUACGUGCCAGCAGCCGCGGUAAUACGUAGGGUGCAAGCGUUAAUCGGAAUUACUGGGCGUAAAGCGUGCGCAGGCGGUUUGCCAAGACCGAUGUGAAAUCCCCGGGCUCAACCUGGGAACUGCAUUGGUGACUGGCAGGCUAGAGUAUGGCAGAGGGGGGUAGAAUUCCACGUGUAGCAGUGAAAUGCGUAGAGAUGCGGAGGAAUACCGAUGGCGAAGGCAGCCCCCUGGGCCAAUACUGACGCUCAUGCACGAAAGCGUGGGGAGCAAACAGGAUUAGAUACCCUGGUAGUCCACGCCCUAAACGAUGUCAACUAGUUGUUGGGGAUUCAUUUCCUUAGUAACGUAGCUAACGCGUGAAGUUGACCGCCUGGGGAGUACGGUCGCAAGAUUAAAACUUAAAUGAAUUGACGGGGUCAUAGCUGUUUCCU